rnacentral:rRNA from 1 species
GAUUCGCCCUUGGGUUCGAUUCCGGAGAGGGAGCAUGUGGUUUAAUUUGACUCAACACGCAAUUUGACUCAACACGCAAUUUGACUCAACACGCAAUUUGACUCAACACGCAAUUUGACUCAACACGCAAUUUGACUCAACACGCAAUUUGACUCAACACGCAAUUUGACUCAACACGCAAUUUGACUCAACACGCAAUUUGACUCAACACGCAAUUUGACUCAACACGCAAUUUGACUCAACACGCAAUUUGACUCAACACGCAAUUUGACUCAACACGCAAUUUGACUCAACACGCAAUUUGACUCAACACGCAAUUUGACUCAACACGCAAUUUGACUCAACACGCAAUUUGACUCAACACGCAAUUUGACUCAACACGCAUAAAUUCGAUUCCGGAGAGCGGUGGGCAUCAAUUUGACUCAACACGCAGGGUUCGAUUCCGGAGAGCGGUGGGCACCAAUUUGACUCAACACGCAUGGGUUCGAUUCCGGANAGGGGUUCGACGGGUUCGAUUCCGGAGAGCGGUGGGCACCAAUU